UCCAAUGCAUCCACUGAAUAUGGGAUCAUCCUCUAAUUGGUCCUUAUGGUGUAAGGCCUCCUCUGCUCCCAAGAUCUAGUGGCCCUGCAAUGCCUAUGAAUCCAGGUGUUCCUGCUAGUGGCUUUGGAGCCCCCAUGGAUGGUCCUUUUCAGGGCACUCUUGGUCAUCAAUGUCACAACAGAAUUUGAACCCAGAAAUUCCACAACUUCCUCCUGUUAGCCAACAAAUGUUAUCUUCACAGAUACCUGUGCAUUUCGUCUCAGGAACUGCCUUGUUCCCUCCAUUUGUACCAUCAAGCUCCAAUGCCCAGCUUACAGACAUCAAUGUCUCUUUCAUCAGUUAGGCAGGUUGGUCAGCCGCAACCUUUUGUCCAGGGGGCCGCUUCCUAUUCUGCAGGUGCCUGGCAUGAAUGGACAGUUACCAGCGUCCCAGCAUCAAACUCAACAGAAUCUUUCAUCUGCUGCAAUGCCUUGGAGCCCUCUCGAUGUUAGAUUGCAAUCUAAUACAGCUGUAAAUACUGCAAACCAACAGCGACUUCCUGCCUUGUUGCAGCAGCAGGCAGCAGCCGCCACUUCAGCCUACCUUGUUGCAGCAGCAGCAACCACUUCAGCCAACCUGUUGCAGCAGCAGCAACCGCUUCAGCCAACCUUGUUGCAGCAGCAGCCACUUCAGCAGUCCCCAUCUCAGUUGGCUCAGAUGUGGUCACAACAAACUCAGACUUUGCAAGCAAGCUUUCAUUCGUCUCAUCAUGCCUGUUCCCAGAUUCAACAAGUGCAAAUGAUGGCAGCCAUCUUGUCAAGAUUUAGCAUUGCAGCAAAAUGCAGAAGCUGCUAAAAAGCAGUCUCAAUCGCCUAUGAUUGUACCACAGUCAGUGGCCAGUAAUCCCACUGCUGCUGCAGCAGCAGCCACAGAUCUUCCUUCUUCCGCAUAUGCUUCUGCUACACCUACAAUAAACCAGAACGUGGCUCUUUCAAAAUGCAAUUGGACAGAGCAUAUAUCUCCUGAGGGCUUCAAGUAUUAUUAUAAUAGUGUCACU